ACGGCUCAGUAACACGUGACAACCUGCCCUGAGGACUGGAAUAAUCCCGGGAAACUGGGAGUAAUUCCAGAUAUGCCAGGGAACCUGGAAUGGUUUCUGGCAGAAAUGCUCCGGCGCCUCAGGAUGGGUCUGCGGCCUAUCAGGGUAGUAGUGGGUGUAACGUACCCACUAGCCUACGACGGGUACGGGCUGUGAGAGCAAGAGCCCGGAGAUGGAUUCUGAGACAUGAAUCCAGGCCCUACGGGGUGCAGCAGGCGCGAAAACUUUACAAUGCGGGCAACCGCGAUAAGGGGACCUCGAGUGCUGGGUUACAAACCUGGCUGUUGGGCUGCCUAAAAAGCAGUCUAUAGCAAGGGCCGGGCAAGACCGGUGCCAGCCGCCGCGGUAACACCGGCGGCUCGAGUGGUAACCGCUGUUAUUGGGUCUAAAGGGUCUGUAGCCUGCCGGCUAAGUCUCUUGGGAAAUCUGGCAUCUCAAGUGUCAGGCUGCCAGGGGAUACUGGUCAGCUUGGGACCGGGAGAGGUGAGAGGUACCUCAGGGGUAGGGGUGAAAUCUUGUAAUCCUUGAGGGACCACCAGUGGCGAAGGCGUCUCACCAGAACGGAUCCGACGGCAAGGGACGAAAGCUAGGGGCACGAACCGGAUUAGAUACCCGGGUAGUCCUAGCCGUAAACGAUACUCGCUAGGUGUCGGCCACGGUGCGACCGUGGUCGGUGCCGUAGGGAAGCCGUGAAGCGAGCCACCUGGGAAGUACGGCCGCAAGGCUGAAACUUAAAGGAAUUGGCGGGGGAG
rnacentral:rRNA from 1 species